AAAAACACAGGUCUGGGGAGGAAAUCCAGCAAGGUUCUUGAGGAAGCUCACAGAAGAAGAAAUAAUGUUUAUCUCCCAGUCAGCCAUGAACUAUUCCACUUUAGCGCAGGCACAUGCAGCUGAAAAUGCAAAGAAGUUGGAUGAGAUUGAAUUUGAGAAGGUGCUACGGAAGAAAUUUGCUCUUAAGGAAGAAGAGUAUGACUCUAUGUUGGGUGGUGCUCGUGAUAUACCUCCAGAGCUUGGCCUGCAUUUAGCACAGGCCCAUGCAGCUGAAAAUGCAAAUAAGUUGGAUGAGAUUGAAUUUGAGAAGGUGCUGCGGAAGAAAUUCACUCGUAAGGAAGAAGAGUAUGACUCUAUGUUGGGUGGUGUUCGUGAUACACCUCCAGAGCUUGUCCUGCCUGAUAAUGUCCUACCAGGCAAGGCACCAAAGGCCUCCUAAGUGUGGGUUCCGACUGGAUUUCCCCCUGGGUUUUCUGAUAUUACCGGGCAACUCCUUUUGUUUCGGGUGGAUUAAGGUGCAAAUGCCUGCGUUUAGUUUCCAAUAAUUGAGGCCAGGCUGAAAUAUCAAAGAUCAAUAUUAGUAUGCAGCUCUAGCAUUUGUUUACUUACCAUGUCUGGUUAACCAGAGCCUAUUGACUAUUCAUGAGAAACCAAAGCUGCAGUCGAGCUUAAAUUUUUGACUGUUUAAGCAAUAUGAGAAAC
rnacentral:lncRNA from 1 species